CNACCUGCCAUCCAGUGGAGGAUAGCCUUUCGAAAGAAAGGAUAAUACUCCAUGACCUCCUCAGAGGNCAUCUGACGAGGAGCAAAGAUUAAUCGCUGGGUGAUGGGGAUGCGUCUGAUUAGGCAGUUGGCGGGGUAAAGGCCCACCAAACCGACGAUCAGUAGGGGUUCUGAGAGGAAGGUCCCCCACAUUGGAACUGAGACACGGUCCAAACUCCUACGGGAGGCAGCAGUGAGGAAUAUUGGUCAAUGGACGUAAGUCUGAACCAGCCAAGUAGCGUGCAGGAAGACGGCCCUAUGGGUUGUAAACUGCUUUUAUGCGGGGGUAAAGUGAGUGACGUGUCAUUCAUUGCAAGUACCGCAAGAAUAAGGACCGGCUAAUUCCGUGCCAGCAGCCGCGGUAAUACGGAAGGUCCUGGUGUUAUCCGGAUUUAUUGGGUUUAAAGGGAGCGUAGGCCGUCAGGCAAGCGUGUUGUGAAAUGUCGUGGCUCAACCAUGGACUUGCAGCGCGAACUGCCCGACUUGAGUGCGCGGAAAGCAGGCGGAAUUUGUGGUGUAGCGGUGAAAUGCUUAGAUAUCACGAAGAACUCCGAUUG
rnacentral:rRNA from 1 species